AGCCAUUAGUCAUGUUCUCUAUAAUACCAGCACUUCUGGGCCUGGAACGGUAGAGAUUUGAUCACAGUUUAAAGCUUGUGUGUGUGUGUGCGUGAGUGCGCGUGUGUGUAUAUGGGAAGUAGGGGCAAAUUUUAACAAAAUUCCACCUGGCUGCUUUUGAGCUUCCAAGUUUGAGAGAAGAAAAUUGGUGUUGGCAUGCUAAGACUUUCCAAUGCUAGAAAAUUAGAUCGCAAUAGUUAGAAGAAUUAUAAUCUUGGCCCUGGCAAGCCUGGAAAAAGCAUCAUGGCAAGCCUAAAGGUCUCAGCUUCCUGGAGAAAUUGGACUUCAAAAGUUCUUCCCCUUAUAAAUCUUGCAAUCCCACCUAAGGAUAGGAACACAACAGAACAACUCAUGUUGACUUUGCUUCCAUUUCUCUACCAAAAGAAACAAUCUGUUAACUCUGAAAAGUAAAACAAAACAAAACAAAACCAAAAAAAAGGAUAAUAAGCAAGCUGAUGCCUGAGGAGCAAGAUAUAAUAAAAGAAAAUGAGGUGAUAAAAAUAAUAGACA
rnacentral:lncRNA from 1 species